AGAGUUUGAUCCUGGCUCAGGAUGAACGCUGACAGAAUGCUUAACACAUGCAAGUCUUUGGCGAAGCUGUGCUUGCACAGCCUAGCCAAGGCGGACGGGUGAGUAACGCGUAAGGGACUUGCCCUGCAGUCAGGGAUAACAGACGGAAACGACUGAUAAAACCUGGUAAAGUCAGGCGGACUCAUGUCCAGCCUGAUGAAAAGGAAUGCUGCAGGAGAGCCUUGCGUCCUAUUAGCUUGUUGGUGGGGUAACGGCCCACCAAGGCGAUGAUAGGUAGCCGGCCUGAGAGGGUGGACGGCCACAAGGGGACUGAGAUACGGCCCUUACUCCUACGGGAGGCAGCAGUGGGGAAUAUUGGACAAUGGGGGCAACCCUGAUCCAGCAAUUCUGUGUGCACGAUGAAGGUCUUCGGAUUGUAAAGUGCUUUCAGCAGGGAAGAAAAAAAUGACGGUACCUCAGAAGA
rnacentral:rRNA from 1 species